rnacentral:ncRNA from 1 species
GACAAGGGGAAUAUGACUAUUUAAUUAAAACAAAGAAUUGUGAAGGUCCCUGUGGAUGUUGACRCAAUGUGAUKUAUGCCSAGUGYURUKAAUGUUAAAGUGAAGAAAUUCARCCAAGCASGGGUAAACAAUGGGAGUAACUAUGACUCUCUUAAGGUAGCCAAAUKCCUCAUCAUAUAAUUAGUGAUAUAGACAUGAAUAUGGGGAUCAUUCAUGUCC